UCAACCCACCUCAGCCUCCCAAAGUGCUGGGAUUAUAGGUGUGAGCCACCACGCCACGCCUGAUUGUGUCUUUUCAUCAGAACGUACUCCACAGACUUCCUGGAAGUGGUGAGAAACUCUCUGCACAGACCUAAAGCCACAGAAUUUCUUCAGCUCUCAUUCUUGGCCUACCUAGAAGGCAAAGGACGGUGUGAUCUGCUUCUGACCGGACUCACCACAGAUGAGAGGGACGUGCUGAGAGUCCAGAGGGCUGUGUGCACCCCUGGGCUCCCCGGGCCGGCCCUGACAAAACCACCUUCCAUGGCCCAGGAGCCGCGUUUGCAUUGCUGGGCACUAUGGGUUUAUCGGACUCACUGAGUGCUUUGCUGUUAAAUAAUACUCCGCACUGCAGAGUACACUGACUUUGCACUACCACGAGCAGAAGUGACACUCUGCCCCCUCUCUACUGGGGUCCAUCGAGACUGGGGGACAGAGGCCUCCUGUGAUGCCCACUGCACACUAAGCUAAGCAAACGACAGCAAAGAGUCUGCUUCCAUCUCUUCACUGCCAACCAAAAAGGAAGAAUCUGGAAGAAAACAUAUUCCCAUCUGUGUAUCAAGUCCUAGAGAUACACCCAAAGUAAGUGAAUGAAACCAACCAGAAUUAACAGAAAAAAAAAGCUUGGAGAAAUGAACUAGAAUAUGGAAUACCCCCUAAUUACAAAUGGCCUCUGGGUAGUGCAAAGUAGGGCACGCCAAAAUAGUGCUGAACAGGCUUUGAACGUAAAAGUAACUGCAAAUAACAGCUCAAAAGUAGGCCAGAACGUGCACUCGAAAACUAACCCGCUUAUUUCUUGCUAAAAUAAUAGAUUUAAAUAGGUACCAGAGUCUCAUAAUUUCAUACUCAAAAUGUCCAGAACAUGAUACAGGAUGACUUGCCAAAAAAAAAAAAAAAAAAAAAAAAACAACCACAAAGUACAACUGGAAUUUGAAAUCAGCAGA